GAAAUGCGAUAAGUAAUGUGAAUUGCAGAAUUCAGUGAAUCAUCGAAUCUUUGAACGCACAUUGCGCCCCCUGGUAUUCCGGGGGGCAUGCCUGUUCGAGCGUCAUUUCACCACUCAAGCCUCGCUUGGUAUUGGGCAACGCGGUCCGCCGCGUGCCUCAAAUCGACCGGCUGGGUCUUCUGUCCCCUAAGCGUUGUGGAAACUAUUCGCUAAAGGGUGUUCGGGAGGCUACGCCGUAAAACAACCCCAUUUCUAAGGUUGACCUCGGAUCAGGUAGGGAUACCCACUGAACUUAAGC
rnacentral:misc_RNA from 1 species